CAGCUAGAGUCCCUUUAUAAGAGUCUGGACAGACUUUGGGAGUGCAACAACAUGGCGUGAACGUCACGUAUAUAGAGACUCUAGUCUAGACGCCCUAGACGGAAGAAAAACCAUGGCGGCGAUGGAUGACUACACGUGAAUCGUAUAUCCUGGAAUCGUUGUAUCGUCGACGUUGUAUAUAAAGAUUUAUAUCAUCUCCAAAUUAGUCUACAUAAAAAGGUUUUCUCUGGCAUAAUGGCUGGUUGUUGUAUACCUGGAUGUACUAACAACAAUAAAAAAGGAUAUUCUAUGAGAAGAUUUCCAAAAGAUGUAAAAAAAAAAUUAAAUUAGAUAAAAAAUAUCAACAAUCUGUGGCCUAAUUGGAAACCUCCUGAGCAUGGACUUAUUUGUCAUAUAAUCACAUUUUUCUGAUGCAAUGUGGGAAAAACCUCGUGUAGAUGGUAAACAAAAAUUAAAAGAUGAUGCUGAGCCAACUAUUUUUUAUAAUCAUAAUGUUAAUAUAAUACCUGCAGCUUCUUCAGUUUCUCCACCGUUAAAUGAUCAAUCAUCAACAGAUUAUAAUACCAAUAGUUCAUCGCAUGACGAAAUUGUGGAAGUAAAUAUAGAACCAAAUCAACAAAUAAAUUCAAUAGAAGUUUUUACUAGUAAAUUACCGAGUACUGAAGUUAAUAAAAUUUGUGAAAAAACCAAUUCCACGGAUUAUGAAACUCCAACAGAUUGUACAACUACAUCAACGUUAGAUGAAGCAUUGAAAAUUGCUGUUCUAAAAGCUGAAAAUCUGGAAAAACAAUUAAAAGUGGCAAAUGCUAAGCUUCAAGCUGCAGAUGUAUCCGUUCGAAAAGUACUAAGAUCAAAUAACUUUUUAUUAAGACGUAUCAGACGGCUGAGAAGUAACAACAGAAUACGUGUUGAGAAAAGUUUAUUAAAAUCUACAGAAAUUUUACACAAAGUAUUCAAUGAUGACCAAAUCAAAUAGCUCCAACGUGAUUCUAGUUGUAAAACUGUACAUAAAUGGUCUGAAGAAACCAUAAAAAAAGCACUUCGGUUAAAAGUAUCAUGUUCCAAUAGUGGUUACCAAGAACUUAUGAAACAAAAUAUUCCUUUGCCAUCUACUAGGACACUUCGUAGAAGAUUAGAAACGAUUACAUUUGAACCUGGAAUUUGUGAUGAUAUAUUUGAGGCUCUAAAAGAAAAAGUUGAACAAUUUGAAGAUGACAGACAAAGAGAUUGCAUGCUUGCAUUAGACGAAAUGAGUAUUAUGAGUGGGAAUUAAGUUGAUUUAUCAACAAAUUCACGUUUUGGUGGUACUACUAUUCCUAACACUUUUGGAAAAAAAACAGAAGCAACGCAUGGUUUGGUCAUAAAUGCUUGCUGGCAUUUUUACUAGAUGGAAACAAGUCGUAGGGUAUUAUUUUACUCCAAACGGAUUUGAUGGUGUUAAACUGAAACCUAUCAUUGAAGAAAUUAUUAGAAAAGCAGAAUUAAUUGGUCUUUAUGUGCACAGUAUUACAUCCGAUAUGGGUGGAGUAAACCAAGCAAUGUGGAGAGCUUUUGGAAACGUAUCUGCUAGUAGGUAUGGUGAAAUUGUAAAUUCAAUAUCUCAUCCAGUUGAUGAAUCACGUAGAUUAUUUUUCUUUGCUGCGACGCUCCACAUCUAUUUAAGAAUCUCCGAGUCUGUCUGAUUAAUAAUAAAGUUAUAUUAUUGCCUGAAAAAUUUGUAAAAACUUUAAAGUUAUUUUCUGAUAUUGUACAAUUUGAACAUUUUAAAGAAUUAGUAGCCGAACAAAAAGAUUAUCAUUUAAAACUUGCACCAAAGUUAAAUAAAAAUGUUAUUAAAACGACAACGUUUAAUAAAAUGAAAGUUGGUCACGCAGUGAAUAUGUUAAAUAGAUAUGUGAGUGGUGCAUUUAAUUAUAUGGACCAUGAAAAUGGUAAUAAAAAAUAUGAAACAACAGCAAAAUUUACUGAAAUAAUGUCUAAAUGGUUUGGAUUAAUAACUGCACGAAGUCCUAUGAUGGCUUUAGGUAAAAAAGAAAACAAUGAAAGAACACAAAAUAAAUUUAAUGAAAGCAUACAGUUCCUAAAUUCGGUAAUUGAGUUAUUCCGUGAUGUAAAAAUUGGUUCAGAUCAGCGAUUUAAACCAGUCCAAAGAGGCAUUUUAAUAACUACAAAAUCUGUAAUUGAACUUACUAAUUAUUUAAUUAAUAAACGAAUAUUCGUACGUUCUUGCUGGUCGAUUUUCUCAAGACUGCGUGGAAAAUCUUUUCUCAAAUAUUAGAAAAAAAUUUCCAAUUCCGAACGCUUUACAGUUUAAACACAGUUUAAAAGUUCUGAUGGUUUCUCAGUACUUACAAACGUUACAAAAUACAAAUUAUGACCAAGAUGAAGGUUCUUUCAUUGCUGAUUUUUUAAGACGGCCAGCUAAAACUAAUUAUAAUCAAUUUGAAGACAUUUCUCCUGUCCUUCCUCCUGGAAUAGAAAAUAAAGUUAUAGGUAUAUCAAAAAAAGAAUUAAAUUCAUUGUAUGGCAUAUGUGGAUACAUUUUAACUAGAGUUUCGAAAUUAACUAAAGUUUGUAAACAAUGUAUAAAUUCUGCUGGAUCCACAACAUAUAAUGGUAGUUCACAAUAUUCUGCAUUACUUCGCCUUAGAUGUUAUAAACCAAAUACAUCGUUUUUCGUGAAUGAUGAAACUUUUAGAUUUUUUUAUCAUAUGGAAAUUGAAAUACGACGUUAUUUACCUCAUUUGAAAUACGCAAAAGUUGAUUUCGUUAAAUUUUAUAUAGUUAAACUGAAACACAUUCAAUGUGAUACAUUGUUAAAUUGCCACAAUAUUUUCGAAAAAAUAAUGAAACGUUUUAUUUUAUAUAAAGUUAAAAUUGAAUGCAAAAAAGGAAUUUUAAAUGCUUACAAUAGUAAAACUAUGAGUAUGCAUUCAUUAAUUAAGUAGUUAGAUUAGUAUAUUGUAUAAGGUAUA